UCUCAAAGGGGCAGCGGCUGCUUCUCAGUUUCUCCGGUAAGGAGAUGGCUGGUCCUGCUGCAAAGCCUCUGUGGCCAUGAGAAUUGGAUUCAGCAGAUAGCAAGGUGUCCCUCCCUUGAAAUUACAGCUAAAAAAAAGUUAAAAUCAAUGGCUUCUGGGACACAGAGAACCUUUCAGUUCCUGAGAACCCAAGGCACUCCCUCAGGCAUUAGAGUAAUCUGGCUGCUUUAAAACCUUCUACCCCUACUUGGUUAAGAUUCAUUUCUCAUCAGCCAAAUCAGUCUCAGCAGAUUUUCACCUGGCUGACAGACCCCAUUCAGGGAUCACCUGCGGACUGCAAGCAGCUAAGCUCUGAGCUUCCUGAAAACUGAUGUAAACCCAUCCGGGUGAUGUGAUUCCUCCAUGUCUUUCAACUGGAUCAACUGAUCAGAUGCUUCUUUGCCCCAUUGUCCAGCCAUUGACUGGCAUUCCAGCCUUCCCGGACCCCUGAUGAUAAGAUCCUAAUGUCAGCCAGAAGCAAUUACAGAAGAGAACAACGUCAUCCAUUUUCUCGCCUAAUAGGCUGAAAAUCCCUGGCAUAAGGGACAAGUGGGUUUCUGUACUGCAGCAGAGGUACUACCCUCAUCACGAAUCUGAUGAGGCCCCUUAACCCGGUUCCCCCUGGUUAUGCAUUAUGCCCUUUGCAUGAUUAUAUAUGAUACCCUAUUAACACUGAGGUGAUAAAGUUGUCUAAUUCCCUAGGGAUGAAAAAGACUAACCUGGAAACUCAUAAAGGCACAUGGUUUGCACGCACCACAGGUCUCUCCCUGUCUCUCUGUGAGCCAUUUCACAAACAAACAAAAGCCCGAGCUAUGCGCACUUGUUCACAUUGUACACAGCUCACCUACCAUGAAGGACCGGCAGGCAGAGCUCACGUGGGCCUCUAUUCCUGCUCAGUGUUAACUGGGGUGGCACAGCAGGUUCAGCAGCCACAGGGACCACUGCUCUGCUCACAAGGCAGACAAGCCUUCACCAACUAGGUGAACAAGUCGAUAAAGAUUUGGCUCAGUUAUAUUCAGCCACCUCACUCCUGGGAUAACAAAUGGACUCCCUGGCUGAAAUGGUCUUGAAAAACUGAUGGGCAUUAGACUUACUGUUCCUCAAGAAAGGAGGAUUAUGUACGGCCCUAGAAGAACAAUGUUGCUUUUAUGCUAAUCAUUCUGGAAUAAUUAAAAACUUUGACUAAAGUCAAACCUGACAUGAAUAGAGAUCAAGAAAGACAGCAAGGUAUAAACUGGUUUGAAAAAUUAUUCAAUUGUCCCCUUGGUUAAUGUCCCUAAUUACUGCCAACAUCUGUGUAUACUGCUGUUAGCCCUGACCUGCUGGCCAUGCAUUUCCAAUGCCCUUAUGUCCUUCACCCACAGGAGAAUCUCAACAAUUAGGCUAUGGUCUUAAAGACUCAAUGUAACUCCCUGGAUGUAAAGGAUGAAUCAGUGUCAACGAUUUGACACUAGGCCCAAACUCAAAAGGGGGGAAAUGUUGGAGCCUGCUGUUUGAGACAAGGCUGCAUCCAUCUUUGUACUCAGCUUCCAUUUUGUUUCUAAGGCAAAAUUAAGUUCAACAUUUUAAGCUUUUCAACUCUGCUUCCUGGAAAGGGUUAUUCAUAGCUGGCCUUAUGAUUCCAUAGCGCCAUAACUGCUACUUGGUCAUCUGUUCACUUGGCUACACUCUGGUUGCCUCCUUCUUAUCUAAACAGGUGGCUACACUUUGAUGUGCUCCAGAGGACCCUGAGCCCUGGCUCACUUACCUCACUUAGGACCAAUCAGCUUAAAGGGUUGCUGAUAAUACUUCGUCUAGUUAGCCAAACAUGUAAUAUUGCUCUGUAAGGUAAGCCAAAAUGUGUUCCUGGCCUCUCCAUGUCUUUCGCAUUUGGUUCUUUCUAUAAAAACUACUGUAAGAACGUGUAGAUGUCACAGUUAUUUUCCCGAUUGCUUGCUGUGGCCCUGAUCGAUCAGCUUGCAAUAGGUAUUCCAAUAAACCAUACAUAUCUGAGACCAGAAAUCUGGGUAGUUUGUGUGGCUAUUCUUAUAUUAGAAC